AACGAACGCUGGCGGCACGUUUUAAGCAUGCAAGUCGAAUGGCAGCAGGGGCAACUCUGUGAGAAUGGCGAACGGGUGAGUAACACGUAGGUGAUCUGCCUUGAGGAUGGGGAUAGCCUGUGGAAACACAGGGUAAUACCGAAUGAGCUGACGAGACUUUGGUUUUGUUAGUAAAGGUGCUACGGCACCGCCUUGAGAGGAGCCUGCGGGUGAUUAGCUAGUUGGGGGGGUAAGAGCUGACCAAGGCGACGAUCAGUAGCCGGCCUGGGAGGGUGGACCGCCACACUGGAACUGAGACACGGUCCAGACUCCUACGGGAGGCAGCAGCUAAGAAUCUUCCGCAAUGGGCGAAAGCCUGACGGAGCGAUGCCGCGUGUUCGAUAAAGGUCGAGGGAUUGUAAAGAUCUUUUCUACAGGAGGAAUAAGUCUGGGAGGGAAUGCCCGGAUGAUGACGUUAGUGUAGGAAUAAGCCCCGGCUAAUUACGUGCCAGCAGCCGCCGUAA
rnacentral:rRNA from 1 species